AAACGAUUGAAGUCAGUCGUACCGACGAGAAAUCAACUUAUCGUGUGUGAACUUGUGGGCGUGCGUGAGUUUCGGCCUCGCUGUUUGCAUGUUUGUGCGUUUUGGGUG
rnacentral:rRNA from 1 species